rnacentral:rRNA from 1 species
UACGUAGGGUGCAAGCAUUAAUCGGAUUUAUUGGGCGUAAAGGGCGCGUAGGCGGGAUUAUAAGUCAGAUGUGAAAGCCCGGGGCUCAACCUCGGAACUGCAUUUGAUACUAUAAAUCUAGAGGGUAGGAGGAGAAAAUGGAAUUCCACAAGUAACGGUGAAAUGCGUAGAUAUGUGGAAGAACACCAGUGGCGAAGGCGGUUUUCUAGCUUAUACCUGACACUGAGUCGCGAAAGCAAAGAGAUCAAACAGG